ensembl:lncRNA
UGGGGUUACUGUGAGGUCACGGCUUGAACUGGUGAUGGAGCACCUGUGAGGGAGUGCAGCUGGCCCAGGGUGCACAGGCACAUUGUUUGCACCUGUGCUCCCUAUGCAACCAGAAGGGGUGGACACAGAGUAGAGCCCCAGCUGGGCUCAUAUAAGGCCCAGCCCCAGGAGGGGAAGGUUUCUUGGACGUGGGCUGCUUCUUGGGAAGGAGUGCUGCGUGGCUGAAGAUCCCCUUCACCAGUAGGACAGGCUUGAAACCAGUUGUCUCAACCUGAUGAUUACCAGGAGCCUGAACAGACACCUUACUGCUCACUUAGAAGUUUGGAAGCAUUUAGACCUGUGCUGGUGGUGUAUUUCCUUCCAUACGACCUCUGACCAGCUAGCAGAUUGUGUUGAGGGUUAAGGAAGUCAGAGGACCACUGCCAUGUAGAAGAACCCUGCCUAACUGACAUCCAGAACUCGGAGCGGCUCCAGCAGAAGAUGUGAUAGCCUUGGCCUGCUUCUACCAGGCCUUGCCUUGUGUCCUGGCUUUAAGAGGUUGUGCACAACUGACACUGUCCACAGCAGAGUGAAGCUUUCUUUAAAUGUCUCCAAGUUUUGGAAAACCAAGAGUGCCUUAAGUUUCUCCCGAGUGAAGGACCUACCAGAAGCCUCUCUUGGAAAAGUUAAAGAGACGCUAAUUAAAAGAAUACAGUAUGUCCCUGAUGAGGGACUGUUGACAAAGACCUGACUCCACGAGUCAUUGGAGCAGCUCCUUACCAAGAUGCAAGAUGUAACAGAUCUGAUCUGGAAAUCACCUUAAUUGCUGAAAGACCACCACUUCCCUCCAAGAGACACAACAGACCAUAAGGACCACAGAUUUUUUUCUUAAAGUGAUAUUGCCGGAUAGAGCAGCACAUCAGGAGCUUGGGUUUUGCAUAACACCAGGGAAGAUUCACAGGAAAAUCACAGGAGUUGGCAACAGAGAGCUUUUCCUUCGGAACGGGCUGGCACGGCUCGACGCACAGAUGUUCCAAAGAGCAGCUCCUUCGCUGGUGCAACUCCAGCUUCACCGGUGCCAGGGGAUGGAUGCGAGUUGAGAGCUGCUGUGGAUCUGCCACCCUCAGGUUUUAAGGAGCAUGGAGGAGCACUGAGCUGGUUUGGUGCCUCACUAGAGACAUGUGCCAGCUAGUGAGCACCUUCUCUGGGAGCCGCCCUCUGUGUGAUGGGCAAAAGGGAAGCUGAACGCCUUCCUCCCUGCUCUUCAUCACUUUGGGGGUGCUGGUGCACAAUGGAAAGCCCCAGGACUUUUGUUCAGUGCAACCAUCCAAGGAAGGAGGGAAAGAUUUCAGCAUGGAAAACUUGUGCCUUUCCACCAGCUUUUGCAUCCGAACCAGCACAGCUUGUGUCUGCUCUACUGAGUCAGGCUCUCAGGGCACCUGGAAAGGAAAACUGGCUUUGGAGACAAAGGUCCCGCCUUGCUUUUAGGAGGGGACAGUGGGAGCCUGGGGCUCCCUCUAUUUUGGGGACAGGGUGGCUACUGUGCUACAAAGACUGCCUUCUGCAUCUCCCCUGCUGAAAUCUCACAUCACAGUGCUUCCCGGGGUCAGCCUGACAGCAUCCAUCCCAUCGGCGCACAGAAAGUGCGGAUUUUGGAGAGGGGAACAUAAUUUUAAAGUUGGCCUGAGAAACCUCCAUCUAGUUUUCAGGGUUCCAGAAUGUUGUUUUAUUAGGAUUACAGUCUUGUUCUUCUUAGGUUUCAGCAGGCGUUUAUGACUGUUACAACAGGAAUGAAAAGCUGGGGCUGGAAUCGGCAUUGCUUUCUCCUGCCAGGCGCAGGGUUCACGGUAGAGGCCAGACAUAUGUCUUUCUCCCACAGAUGCUACUUUUUUUCUGGAUGAGGAGGUGAGCUCCAGCCUCUCCCUGGAAGAGAGGGCUGGCAGCAGCGCUGAGCUGAGAUGUGGGGUCUGCACAGGGGCCCAUUGGCUGAAGGUAAUUGCUGUGUCGGUUCAUGUUGUUCUCCUCUGUCCUUUGCAAAAAGGAGAGACCAAGUCCCACGGGCUUGUCUGUGUCUGUCACUGGAGGCUUGUGUUGCUCCUGUCUCCUUUCUCUCAUGCCCCAUGGACAUCUUUCUAGGUUGGCAGAGGGGCUCGGUGAAGGAGAAGUAGUCUGCGCCUACAGACUUCCCUCCCCUUUUUGUCUUGUUUUCCUUUCUUUCCUUUCUUUUCUUUUCUUUUUUUUUUCCAGCAUGCAUUAUUCCAGACCUGAUAUAAUUCACCUAUCUGUAUUUGUCCCCAUGCAAGUCAAAACUCCUCCUUGAGGGCACCUGAACUGGAGUCACAUUCCCCACCUUUGCAGAGCCCAUGUUGUCUGCCUCUGGGAGGCAGUGGCAGGAAGGUAAGGCCCCAGGCUGUCCUUCUAGGUCGUGGUGGCUGUGCUUGUUUGGAGAGCUCAACCCCUUUCAUGUUCCCCAAAGAAGGAGGAGUUCAGCCUACCCAAACCAUCCUGCACGGGGUGAAGAACUCAGCCCUCCUCUAGGGCGAUCCCUGGCUAUGGGACAGUUGGACCCUCUGCGCAGUAAUAAUUAGCAGACAAAUCCUGCUGACUCGGGAAACUCAUCUAAGGGUUUGUUUGUGUGUUUGUUGUUUUUAUGAGAAGGUCCAUAUGCCUUUCAGAUUUUGUUAUUUUCAGAGUUGAUGAUCUGAGGAACAGAAUGAAGAGUUGACAUUGUUGGUUGUUUUCUUGGCCUGUUUUAUACAGCAGAUGUAUUUGGGUAGAAGGGCUACAGCUCGUUACUUUAUUUAUUCUGGUGGAGUUUUGUUGCAAAGACAAUAGGUCAGAUCAUGACACGGGAAGAAAAAAGAUAGCCUUGGAACUGGUGGGUGCUGUUCAUCUACCAGUGUUCCCUUCACACACUGGAUAGAAUCCAAGAGGUAAUAUGGGAAUUUCUGAAUGUACUUAAAGUUUAUGAGACUGCCUGCCUGAAUGCCUGCAUGUGUGUGGAAUGGAACAAGGAUCCCCAGCAUAAUAUUUAAUCAAAAUCCAGUUUUACCAGUGAUAUAAGGCAGAUAAAGCACUGAGUACAGUCCUCAGGAUCUGCCCUGUGUAUGACAUCAUACCUGUCCUUCAGCUUAUGCACUGUGUAUGGCAUACACAGUAUCUGCCGAUACACAUGGUGUGGGAUUCACCCUGAAACCCUGAAUGUGCCUUGGAUUUUCCAAGUCAGAGUCUUGUUUUAAAUCUUGCCUCAUAAUGUAAUUUGAUGGUCGCAGGAGCAGUUCUAGCUCAAUGCUGAUUUCUUUCUAGGGUAUGAAAAUCCUCUCUAACAUACUGUGCCUUUUGAAUCUGAUUCUUACUUGGAAACGUGUGCUCACUUCAGUGUAUAAGAAAUGGGCAAUGGAGUUUGAGCCACAACUUUAUCAGCAGAGGGCACAGAUAUCUCAGUGUUUGCUGAAUCGUGCACCUUCCUUCAGCACUCUCUUCCUGCUGAAUAGCCCACAUCUAGUGUUGUUUUUACCAGGUUUUUCAGAUUAGGACUCUCUCCCUUUUGCUAGCUGAGAUCUCCUAAAUGAGAACAGGCAACCUCAUUUUCUAACUCUGUUCCUAACCUAAUCAGGGUGAAGCCUCAGACUUCUGGCGCUUCUCUUGGGGUGCUGUUUGUGAACCUCUACCAUGAUCCACAGCAAUCCUUAUUCCCUCCUUACUCCCAGCCAUCGCUGAGCUUUCAUUCCCUCCACCCUUCUUCUGUCACCACGUUGAUCCUCGAGGUGACCCCUCCAAGCCGUUGACCCUCCUGGUUCCCCUAGCCAGCCUGCUGAGCUGGUCUUUGCCCAGUUGGUUCUUCUGUUCCCUGAGCACCUUUUCACCAGUUUUCCACUCGUUUCCCAGUUUGCAUUGAUCUCACUCAAAUAUGAAGGAGCAAGGAAGACCUGAGGAGGAAGCAAUCACUAGUGCCAUACACAACGAUAAUGACAUCUGAUGAACUGAUUUCUGUCUGCAUCCAGAGUAGUAGGAUGUUCCCCUUUUCCUGGUGUUGAUGAUGUCUUUUAACUCUGCACCUCAGCAAAUAUGGUUAGAAAUGCUCCUGCAUUUUGCAGCAGUGCUGGCAGAGGCAGUGUUAAAUGCAGUCAUCCCACGGCUGAUGUUGAGAAUUCCUCCAGUAAACUCCCUUCAGCUCAGUUCUUCUGUCAGUACAACUUGCUAUCAUCUCCAUUUUAGCCCAUUUAUCAUCCUCCUUACAACACUUGUCUUAUCUUCUCCAGUUUAACUACUAAUUUUGUGUGCCAGCAUAUCAAUGGUUUAAAUGAUAUUGGGUAGAGUAGCCUGGCACAAAUGCUUGUCAUUGCUAGUCCCAAGUUUGUCCUUCAUGUCACAUUAUCCCACAGCUUUCUUUAUCCUUCACCCAGUAUUUCAUCUGAAGUUUUGUGUAAUAUUGAUGAUAUGAUGAUAUGAUGAUAUGACCUGUGUGGGAUAUCACUGAUGAUAUGACUUGUAUGGGAUCAAGUCCAGUUGAGUUGAGCUCAAUGAGUCCCUUCCAACUUGGGAUAUUCUGUGAUUCUACAGUUUUCUCCUUAAAUAAAGGCACCACAUCCUCUUUUCUCUAAGGCAUUGGUUUCAGUAUAAUAGGUCUUACUAUCAGAUUUGUACUUCCAUGUGUUCCUACUUGCACUGUUCAGAGCUGGGUUGACAUUACUUCCUCCCAGCUCAAGCACACUCAACAUUUCAAUUUGUUUCGGUCGGUUUCUAUAUUUCUUCUUGAUGAACUGCUACAUGGUCUGCCAUGUACCAAAUGCAGCUACAGAAACAGAUCUUUUCCUUUAUAUGCACAGUUUUUCACUUCUUUCCUGACUACAAACACGAUGGGGUUUUCUGCAGCCAGGUGGAACUUUCCAUUGUGUCCACCUUGGCAAAGAGAACAGCUGAAUGCAGGGCAACCCUUCUGACAUGAAGGUGAGCCUGUAUAUAUGUACAUACAGGCUACCCACUAUUUUACUUCUCCUGGGGAUGCUUUUGCAAGAUGAGGAGAAGGUUUGUUCUUUAGCUGCAAACUUCUUUGCUGGCAUUUUUUACGCCCUUGUUACGCAGAAGGAGGACACCAGAGCCAUUGAAACGAAAGGGCUCAGAGAUUGUUGGAGCAAACCCUUGAGCAAUGCUUGGUCCCCAGACCUCCUUCUCUGAAACAGGUGAGUCAUUCUGGCUGAUAUUAAAAAGAAAACAAUAAAAAAAGCCUAUUUCCCACACACAAACCAGCCCUGAGGCACACGAUUAGCAGGAGGUAUUUCACUCACAUGGCUGGAGUAGGGCAGCAUGUUAAGCAACUAAAGCCAUAUUCUUACUAUAGGAAGUAUUUAAUCAUCUUUGUAACAGAUAGUAGUGCUAUCUGUACUUUGAGCAAAGCUUUUGUUCUGCUAAAUGUUAUUCACUGGCUUUGUUCUGAGAAUAUAUGUAAGUACUGGCAGGACCAGUGACCCAUGUAACUGUAAUGCAGUGGGUUGCUAUAAAACAAAUGAGAGCAAUGUAAGGUUUAGCUCUGGCAGUCUCAGUGAAGGUAACAUGGGUGACUCUGGUAGCUGGAGCUAUGGGUCCUGUGUAGGACACACUCCCCACCUGUCAUUUUCCAUUAAGACAUUUGAUGUAGAAAAAUAAUCUUUAAAAGAUCUGGGUUUUUUUUCCCUAUUUUUUUCCAUUUUUUAGCACCUUUUUUUUGUUUGGGCUUUUUUUUUUUUUUUUUUUUUUUUUUGCUUGAUUGCAAAGGAAACAAGAGGAGCAAGUGCCUGAAUGCAUUGAUUUCUAUGUGUUUUUUUGUUUUUUAAGAAAAAAAGUCAAAGAAUUAUUUUUGUCACUUUAAGAGAAAGUGAACAAGUGAAAAUGUUACCUUCAGGAGUGGUAUGCAAAACCUAAAAGUUAGCUAGUUAAAAAGUGGAAGUCUUUUCAAAAGGGAAAUGGGCUUUCUCGUACAUACAUGAAAGGGGAGUUGCAAUAGAUGACCUUUGAAGGUCCCUUCCAACUCUAUGGGUUCCAUGCUUCUGUGUUUUAAAAAUCACUCCUUCCUGGGGAGGAGUCACCUUUCUUAAAUGAGGAAAAGGAGCACUGCCAACAAUUCCCAUAUUAAGAUGUCCAAAAUUUUAUUUAUCCAUAAAGUCUUUCCUCUGGAAUUAAAAAAUCCCGUUUGGCAGGGAAAAAAAAACAACAAAAAACCCACCCCAAAAUGACUCUCAGAUAAAACUGUUGCCUUCAAUAAAUCCCAGAUUUUCAAUGAAGAAACUUCAAAGUUUGCUUACUUUUACCAUUCAAAGUGUAAAAUACUGCUUAGCACAAUUGAGGGUGGCAAAAAUUGACCUUAAAAUUUGCUAGAACCUCUGGCCACACGACAUUUCCUUCUGGGCUAUUUAAACACGCAGCUGAAACACAACAGCAGAAGGGGUUUUUUUUUCCUGACCUCAGAGAAAUGUGAGUGAAACGUGAAUGGUGACAGGGAGUGAUUUUAUAGGAGGUGCUGAACCUGCUUAAUCUGCCUUUUGUUCAGAUUUUAACGGGCUGCGUGAUGUUUUAUUUAUGUGUUGGCCUGUUAUUCUCCAAAGUUGUUUCAUGGUACACCAAUGGGACCGAGAGGGGUUGGAGUGGCCUAAAUCGGACCAAAAAGGUCCUAUGACAAUACUGCGGUCUCUCAAGUUCUUUACUGUGAGAGUGGUGAGGUGCUGAACAGCUGCCCAGAGAGGCUGUGGAUGCCCCGUCCAUCCCUGGAGGUGUUCAAGGCCAGGUUGGAUGGGGCCCUGGGCAGCCUGGGCUGGUAUUACAUGUGGAGGUUGGUGGCCCUGCCUGUGGGGGGGGGUUGGAGCUUCGUGAUCCUUGAGGUCCCUUCCAGCCCGGGCCAUUCUAUGGUUCUCUCCCAACAGCAUGGUUGCUACCGCCCACAUGAAUGGGGAAUACCUCCAUUCUGGGCCCAGAGCCUUGUAGGUAAAGGUGAGUGUCCAUUCUGCAUAUCCCAUUUGUACGCUCAAUGGCGCCUUAAGCAGUGGCAACUAAAACAGUGAUAGGUGAAAGACACCUGCUUUAAAUAAAUACAGUAAUCUGCCCAAAGCUCCCUGAAUGCACUGGUGUUCAGUGAGGGCCCUGAACCUGCAGACAUACCUAUGCUUAACAACAUAAUCAUUAAAGAACAGAAACCUUUCCUUCUAAUCCCCCUCAUACAGAACAACAUGUGGAUGUUAGCAUAUUUAGACUGCUUUGCAUUCCUUCUUGCCUGCUUCUGAGAACAUACUACAUUUUAAAACUUGUUGGGUUCUUUCAUGUUUUAUUUGACCCUAUGUAAUUGCAUUCCUGAAGGAAUAACAGGCUCCCACAGUGAUUUAUACCCUGUAUUAAAUGUCAGUUUUGAAGAGACACAGUUAGCAGUUUGGUUUAACCUCCUGCCUUCCGAUGUAAGUUCAAAACCGAAGCGGAGCUCGGGAUCCAAGGGGAAAAGCACAAAGAUGAAAAUGGACUUAGGGCAGCGCGGAAGGAGGUGUCUGUGUUCCCAGCCCCUCACCUUUAGAAGGCACCAGGAUGAGAUUCCAUCCAGCCAGCCCUAUUUUUAACCAUCGUUUGCUUACCGCGCUGCCGCCCUUGACCAGCUGUGCAGGCUGUAAAUUAGCGCUGCACGACGCUCUGCUUUCUCCAGAACCUCCAGCAAUGGGCUAGAGCACUUUCUGCUGCAAAACCCACCCAACGGCCCAACACACCAACCCCCAGCAGCUUUGGCAUGUGUCCCAAUAGGAAGGUCAGCAAAAUAAAUCGUCCUUGUGAUUAAGAGCUGCUCCUUUGUUUUUAUGCGUGUAACCGUGCCUAAAUAGCGAGGCAGGAUACGUAUGUUAUUGCUGUUUUAAAGAUUUCAUUCCCUUUGUAGAUUUCCUUACGACAGACUUAACAACUGCUGAAUCGUACGUUAUGACCUAAUUAUGGGGGAUUCAGUUAAAUAAAUCUUGAUGUAAUGGUAUAUUCUUGAUGUAAUGGUGUUUUUAUGCGCGUGUGUGCAUUUAAAUGUAAAAGUAAAUGCAGCCUGUGUUGGGAUCUGACACUGCUUGAGUGGUCAUCCUUUUUAGAACCAGGAGUGAAGCACAUAAUGGGGAGUUCUUUAAGCAUCAGUGCUGUACCUACAACCCUAUUUCCCGUGCCCAGGAAAUGAACGUCCUGGCGAUCACUUUGCUUACCCUGCAGCUCUCUCAGGCAGGAGAUUUAGCUGGAGCUGCUCCAAGGAGGAUUCAGUUCUCACACUGAAAGUGAUAGAUUUGAUCCAUCGGACUCAUUAUUCCUAAAAAUAUCUUAGCCAAAGAUAUUCAAAUGAAUGCAAAGAUUAUGUGGGAUCAGCCCAGGUCGUUGUUCUGACCUCGGCACAUGACUCAUUUUUCAGCUGAAGUCAUUCAGGGUGUUUCCAUUGCCUUCUACAGAGCCUCACUUGUCCAUCAGGUGAAUGAUGAGAACAGAACUGACAAUGAUCUCUUAUUUUGAAGUGAAAAAUGGAGGUGAUAAUGCUUUCAUGGGUUGGGUUUAUCUCAACAGAGCCACGGAAUAAGUUGCCCUCUGGAAGCGGAUGUCACUGCUGACUCUUUGGGGAGCUAAUAUGACGAGCGUAGACCUGAUGCUUGUCUUUCAGAUGGAUAGAGUUAGAUCCUGGAUUGUGGAGGACUAAUGCUUCCAGGCAAGCAAAGCCUGCAGCAUCCUUUUGUUCCUGGUGCAUUCAAUGGGCAGUGCAUUGACUCAGCCUUUUACUCAAAGGACACGAGGAUGCUGUAGAUUUCUCCAUUUGACCAGCUGGAUUUGCACCUGAGUUUUGAUCCCACGGCUCCAGCUGAAGCUCUCCUUACUUCUGCAGAGAUUGUCCCCUAUGCCAGCAGGACCACCUGAGCCAUUGGCCAUCACCCAGCAGGGAAAGGAUCCCGGGCAGCUUGUCAGGCAUGUUAUGGUGGUCACGUGUGUGAUCUGCCUCCCAAGAGGAAGACAUUUGGGUUGCUGUACCAGAGCCAUGGGACGAGCUUUGCUCACGCCAGCAAGCAGCGUGCCCACCUAGUCCCUGGAGAUCUGGUAAGCAGUUAGCACUUGCUAAGCGGAUAUUGCUUCAUCUUCUGUUAUUACUUGUGUUUGCUAGGUCAAACUGACACCAACUGGUCUGCCACGGCCACAUCAGAGUACCUAUCCAGAGUCUCUGGAGAGCUGCUGAACUGUAAGGAUGUGCAAAGCCCAUAUUCCUGUGACUGCCUAUGUUUGCUAGGUCAGACUGACACUGAUCUGCAGAGAGGAGCUAUGGGCACACCUUUGUUUUACUCUGGAGGAAUAUCCUCUAUCACUCCAGGCCUUAAUUCCUCAUCAGUGAUGAACUGCUGGUGGUAUCCACAGACUGUGGCUCUGUGAUUUGGUGUGGUGGGAAAGCAGAAGCCCCAAGGCACACUGGAGGUGUAACGUUCUGCUAUAAGAACCGAAGAUACAGAAGUGAUAUUAUUGGCAGCUUGGCUGCUGACUGGGUGAGCCCUACAAAAUUCCUUUGAUGUUUUAGUCAUAUUUGAUAGGAAUAGGGCCAGACAAAAAAAAAAAAAACUCCAGAGUCUUCCAAAUCCUAAAAUGCAAAAACAAAGCGUUGGACCCUUUCAUUUCCUUCACAGUUCAGAGACUGCAAGGAAAAUGAUUUGAAGCAUUUCCUUCUUCUAACACCAAAACAGAGCCUGGCUUUUACAUAAGGAGAAAACUAUUUGUCGAGUGCUGCGAGCUGCGCUUUGCUAUCACACCGUUUCACAGAACCAGAAGAUACAAAUCAAUGGGGAAAUGUACAGUUGUAGUCCUGUGAUUUCUAUAUCUGCUUUUGCAAUGAUUAUGAUGACAGGACACAUCUCUUUCUUGCUCCCUCGAAGAUUUAUUUUUCUCUGCCCAGCCCUUUUUCUUAUGUUUCUGUAGUUCUCCGAAUAUAAUCUGCUGCCCUUAAUCACGUUUAAAAAAUCACACUGACUUGAAAGGAAAAUGUUAAGUUCUUCAAUGAAUGGAAAAAUACUUCUGUUGUUUAAAUGUAAGUAAUUAAACUGAGGACUUUCUCCAAAGUAAACCUUGACAAUCUAACAACCAUCUUUGGCUUUUGCGCCGAUGGAGUUUCUUUUACAUUUUUAAAUGCAUUCCUUGUUUCAGUAAAUGACACCGGGCUCACCAGCAGUGACUGAGUGAUUAGUUUAUCAUCCUCUUAGUGCAGCCAUCUAGAUCUUUAACUCUUUAAGCAGUGGCAUUUAAGACUUGAGAACACCCAGGAACAUGCCUGAGGCUUUAGGCAUUCUCAAUUCAAGCAAAUCUUGGAUAUCAGGUGAAAACGAAUAAAAGAAAGUAGAUGGGCGCACUCUGAUAACGCUUUAAACAAGUCAGGUAAGCUAAAUUGCAAAUAAACAGCAGGCUUUUUAAAGAGGAAGCCAAUUCCCCUUUCCUGGGACCGCUUGGGUCAUCAGGUGUCUGAGCAGCAUAAAGUUACGUGGAGAAAAUCUCCCUGCGUACAAAGGGAGCAAAGGGUGACAGUGCAUUUCCCAAGGCUGUGGGCUGUGGGGCAGGGCUCCUCGCUGGCUUUAUUGCUGGUUUCUCAUGGUGCAGUCAAAACAACCAUUUUACAAAAGUUCUGGUUGUAACAAGUGUAUGUGAGCCGAAACUGCAUGUGAUGCCCUGUGCUGUAAUCAUGUCCACGCAGGGAUGCACAACGCCUGGCAGCAACAAGAGCCUUCGGAGAAGGAAGGGCCUCUUCUUACUUCAGAGCAGAAAGGUGGGGGUGCACUUUCAGGCAGAGGGAAAGGACUGACCUGCGGGCUGCUGACCAGCUGUGCCUGCUGCUCAGCAUGGUGGAUCUGCACCUAUCAUCCGAUCCUGCUCAGUAACGCGAGCCACAUCACCACGCGUGCCCUCUGCCAUGGCAGACACGGAGCUGCUCGCCCCGUGCAGGCCGAGUGCCCCGGGGUCUCUGUAGCUGGGUAGAGCCAGGACUAUGGGAAUGCAGCAACAGCACUGCGCCCAGAGCCCGGCUUUUGGUUAUUUAUUUUAUUUUUAAAAAUGCUUUUGUAGUUUCGUCCGCUGCCUGUGGUCGGUUGUUUGGUUUUGUUUUCUUUUGUUUUGUUUUGUUUUGUUUGCAGGCUGGACUUGGAGUUUUGCUGUUCGGGGAGAAAGGAGUUGAUGCCCAGCAGGGCAGACUGAUCCUGUGCAGAUGCUGCUCAGUGAGAUGAAUUCUCUGCAUCCCGAAGAAUGUUGAGUGGAUUGGGAGCUCCCUCUGAUUGAGCAGAGCUGUGCUCCUGCAAGCGUAGACCAGUUUGGUCUCCAGUUUUCUGGCGACUGUUCUGUUGCCUGCAGGCUGCAGCCAUUCUCAACGCUGUAAAUACCUUCAGACAUCUGCUCCAAGCAUACCUCCCUGCCAGAAGCUGCGAUGAAGGCAUGUUCACUUUUGCUUCUUUCUUACGGGGAAGAUUUUGCUUCCAUCUCCCUUCUGCUCUUCUUCUCAAGCCAGCGCAACACAAGGAGAGCCAACCCCGGUCAUUCUUCAAGAGCUGAGUGGUGAGGAUGUCAUAGAAUCAUAUCAAAGAAUCAUAGAAUGGCCUGGGUUGAAAAGGACCACCGUAAUCAUCCCCCCAUGAUGGUGCACUGGGUGUAUGGGGCAGUGCGUACCCUGAUAGCAGCAAAACUGUUGUUUCACGUGCCAUAAACAGGAGCUCAUACAACAACUCUGUGUCAUGUAGCUCUCCCGGUGUUCUCACAGGGACUGGAGCUUGACUUAAAUGCUGUGAGAGCCUUCUGUGUGCCGGGCUGGUUGUGGCACUGGGGGGACCGAUCAGUUGGGCAGCAAGCAGCCCACGGCAGGAGGGAUGGAACUGCAUUCUCUCUAAGGGCCAUUCCAACCUGAGCCGCUCAGUGAUUGUGUCUCUUAUUCAGAACUGACGUGUGGUUUUGCUUCAUUUCUGAGGAUGGUUCAAAGUGCUCUCCUUCCCAGAUGGAGAUUCUGACAUGCCUUUAAUUCUAAUCUUCUCCUCUCCUCAUUUUUUUUUAAUCAGCCUUCACAGUUAAGCAUAUAAUUAGCCACUUGGAUAAAGUAGGUGUGUGGUGUCACAGAGUCACCAAGCUGAACCUAGGCCUUCUGAAGUCCGAAUCAACUCCAUCAUCAGAGCAGCCUUCCUGUAGGCACGCCAGCACUUGCAGCAUGGCCCAGAACCUCCUGCCUUUGAACUUCCCAGCUUUAGGCUGCUGCGUCAGCGUCUGUGUAUGAUGGAAGCAGUGAAGGGGGGAAACAGGUAAUUGCUUAGGGAGGAAAAAGCCAAAAAUGAAACCGUGCCUUGCUGCCACUGACACGAGCUCUGCUCCUGCUCAUGUGCUUUUGGGUAAUAGAUUUUUAGGAGAGAAUGUGGUGGGCUUUGAUUCUGCUUACAGGUGUUGUCUCAGAGCAGAAGAGAACAGAGCAGGCAACAGUGAGUAAGAACACUUCUACCUUGAAAACAAACCCAGAGAACACCUCACUCCUUAGCUCACUCCAUCAAUAACAGAACAGUCUUGCUGCACUGCAGUGAACUGCUAAAAAGUUAUCGUCAGGAAGGACUGGAAGUACUUCUAGCUCUUUCCUUCCCAUAUACCUGCUUCAGAAGGACUAAACCUGUGGGGUGCCUGGAGUGAACUGAGUUGUCCUGCACUAACAUGGAUUGCUUUGCACUAGAGUAAGCCACUGAGGUCCCUGGUGAAGACCUUGCUGCACUUAGCAUGUUUUAGCUAAGUGUGAUGGAUUUGUGUUUAUGUGUCCGUGUGUGUUUAUAUACACAUACAUGGCUAUAAAAGUACAUGGGAUACUGAGUUGAAGUAGGACAGAACUGACAACGCCAGUAUAACCUACAGCCUCAUUUAGAUGUCUAUGGAGAAGCAGCCUUUCCUCCUGAAGUGAUUUUCCUCAUCACAUGUCUGUGGGAAGCUGAUGCUCUGUUCACACAUAUUCACUACGUAGGCCUAUUUGGUGAGUAUUUUCUAUUAACGGCCCUUGGUCUGCUCGUGGUGAGCACUUCGUCACCGGGCAGGUGGUGCACAUGAGCCCCACCAGCCUCCUGUGGCUGGAGAUGGAAGCCACAAGCCAUGCCCGUGUUCUCCACCUCCGGUCAGAUGGGAAUCCCUAAGAGGGUUCCUCCUCUCUGCUGUCAGGGGAGGACGUUCACAGUCACUAGUCUGAAAUUCAGAGAUGUGCUGACAUUUCCAGGCACUUACAAUAAUGCUCACUGCUGAACUCCUUUGCUGCUGCUGAAAACCAAACAGAACGUGCUCAGAGCAAACUCAUCUAGCAAAUUCAAGCAUGUCCUCCUAGAAUUCCUUUUGCAGCAGCUGUCCUGCUCUGCUUAUUUAUGCCUUGCGCUAGCAUCUGAAAUCAUUAAGGCCUCUGAUGAUAGCACAUCUCAAGACACAAUUAAAGGACAAAGACAAAUGUCAGCACCCCGGAGGUGCCACAUGGUUUUGCAGAGCGGCGGAUUUGGCAGUGCUGCAGGAGGAGCGCGGCACUGAAGUGUCAGAGUCACAGCUGAACACAAAGCCCAGUAUCAGUGCUGGAGACACCGAGGUGGUGUGGAUGCUAAGGGUGCUGCCAGCGUUGUGGUGUUCUCAAAACGUAUCUGUGGCUCAACCAAUCUGAAAUGAAUCUUCUCCUCUUAACCACGUGGCCUUACAGUGUUCCUUAGGAGAACGGCAGCCUUGUGGAUGCUCAUCCCUGGAGGUGUUCAAGGCCAGGUUGGAUGGGCCCUGGGCAGCCCGAUCUGGUGCCUGUGUAGUUUGUGGCAACACUGCCUGUGGCAUGGGGGCUGGAAAUGGAUGGUCUUUGGUGGUGAUGGGUUGGAAGUUGGACCUCCACGAUCACCUUGGAGGUCUUUUCCAGCCUUAAUGACUGUAUGAUUCUAUGAAUACAUCCCUUCUGGAGGUCCCUCUCACAUCUCAAGGAUGAUGUUUUGAUGGAAUGGGAAGCAAACGUAGGCUAAAAGCUAUGAUUAUUUCUAGAACGUGCAUGAGAAUAUGGAUAUUCCUCUUGUAACAGUGAUCAAGAAAACCAAUCAGUGUAUAAAUGAUUUUACAACACGUGGCUUCGGUCGUAGAAAUCUAGCAUUGUAGGAGUUGAAAGGGGCCCCUAAAGGUCAUCACGUUCAAUUCCUCUGCAGUGCACAGGGACACCCACAGCUCCAUCAGUGCUCAGAGCCCCGUCCCGUCUGCCCUCGGGGUCUGCAGGGAUGGGGCACCACUGCCUCUCCAGGCAACCUGUGCUGGAGGUGUUUGUAGCACAGGUCGGGAGCCUUUCCAUAGCGUACC